rnacentral:lncRNA from 1 species
GUUGGGAGCACAUGACGUGCGUACAUGGGAACGCACAGGUGUGCGCGCCUGCCUGUGUUGUGUUGGUUUGGAACCACAUGCAAGCUUCCAGGAGAUGCCUACACAGACUAUGUUGCCACCAGGUGGUACCGAGCCCCUGAACUUCUUGUGGGAGACACGAAGUACGGCUCCUCUGUGGACAUAUGGGCUGUCGGCUGUGUUUUUGCAGAGCUCCUGACCGGUCAGCCACUCUGGCCAGGAAAAUCAGAUGUGGACCAACUUUAUCUGAUCAUCAGGACAUUGGGAAAGCUGAUCCCAAGGCAUCAGUCUAUCUUUAAAAGUAACCAGUUUUUCCGUGGCAUCAGCAUACCCGAACCUGAGGACAUGG